rnacentral:rRNA from 1 species
UGGUGCCAGCAGCCGCGGUAAUUCCAGCUCCAAUAGCGUAUAUUAAAGUUGUUGCAGUUAAAAAGCUCGUAGUUGAAUUUCGGGAUGAUCAGGUUGGUCGUGCCAUUGGUAUGUACUAGCUUUGGUGGUUCCUACCUCUUGAAGAACCGUAAUGUCAUUAACUUGGUGUUGCGGGGAAUCAGGACUGUUACUUUGAAAAAAUUAGAGUGUUUAAAGCAGGCAAACGCUUGAAUACAUUAGCAUGGAAUAAUGAAAUAGGACGUUUGAUCUUAUUUUGUUGGUUUCUAGGAUCGACGUAAUGAUUAAUAGGGAUAGUUGGGGGCAUUAGUAUUCAAUUGUCAGAGGUGAAAUUCUUGGAUUUAUUGAAGACUAACUACUGCGAAAGCAUUUGCCAAGGAUGUUUUCAUUAAUCAAGAACGAAAGUUAGGGGAUCGAAGACGAUCAGAUACCGUCGUAGUCUUAACCAUAAACUACGCCGACUAGGGA